UUUAUUGAGAGUUUGAUCCUGGCUCAGGAUGAACGCUGGCGGCGUGCUUAACACAUGCAAGUCGAACGGAGGACCCCUGAAGGAGUUUUCGGACAACUGAAGGGAAUCCUUAGUGGCGGACGGGUGAGUAACGCGUGAGUAACCUGCCUUGGAGUGGGGAAUAACAGCUGGAAACAGCUGCUAAUACCGCAUGAUAUGUCUGUGUCGCAUGGCACUGGACAUCAAAGAUUUAUCGCUCUGAGAUGGACUCGCGUCUGAUUAGCUAGUUGGCGGGGUAACGGCCCACCAAGGCGACGAUCAGUAGCCGGACUGAGAGGUUGGCCGGCCACAUUGGGACUGAGACACGGCCCAGACUCCUACGGGAGGCAGCAGUGGGGAAUAUUGGGCAAUGGGCGCAAGCCUGACCCAGCAACGCCGCGUGAAGGAAGAAGGCUUUCGGGUUGUAAACUUCUUUUCUCAGGGACGAAGCAAGUGACGGUACCUGAGGAAUAAGCCACGGCUAACUACGUGCCAGCAGCCGCGGUAAUACGUAGGUGGCAAGCGUUAUCCGGAUUUACUGGGUGUAAAGGGCGUGUAGGCGGGACUGCAAGUCAGAUGUGAAAACCACGGGCUCAACCUGUGGCCUGCAUUUGAAACUGUAGUUCUUGAGUACUGGAGAGGCAGACGGAAUUCCUAGUGUAGCGGUGAAAUGCGUAGAUAUUAGGAGGAACACCAGUGGCGAAGGCGGUCUGCUGGACAGCAACUGACGCUGAGGCGCGAAAGCGUGGGGAGCAAACAGGAUUAGAUACCCUGGUAGUCCACGCUGUAAACGAUGGAUACUAGGUGUGGGGGGACUGACCCCCUCCGUGCCGCAGUUAACACAAUAAGUAUCCCACCUGGGGAGUACGAUCGCAAGGUUGAAACUCAAAGGAAUUGACGGGGGCCCGCACAAGCGGUGGAGUAUGUGGUUUAAUUCGAAGCAACGCGAAGAACCUUACCAGGGCUUGACAUCCCGGCGACCGGUGUAGAGAUACACUUUCUUCUUCGGAAGCGCCGGUGACAGGUGGUGCAUGGUUGUCGUCAGCUCGUGUCGUGAGAUGUUGGGUUAAGUCCCGCAACGAGCGCAACCCUUAUUGUUAGUUGCUACGCAAGAGCACUCUAGCGAGACUGCCGUUGACAAAACGGAGGAAGGUGGGGACGACGUCAAAUCAUCAUGCCCCUUAUGUCCUGGGCCACACACGUACUACAAUGGUGGUCAACAGAGGGAAGCAAAACCGCGAGGUGGAGCAAAUCCCUAAAAGCCAUCCCAGUUCGGAUCGCAGGCUGCAACCCGCCUGCGUGAAGUUGGAAUCGCUAGUAAUCGCGGAUCAGCAUGCCGCGGUGAAUACGUUCCCGGGCCUUGUACACACCGCCCGUCACACCAUGAGAGUCGGGAACACCCGAAGUCCGUAGCCUAACAGCAAUGGGGGCGCGGCCGAAGGUGGGUUCGAUAAUUGGGGUGAAGUCGUAACAAGGUAGCCGUAUCGGAAGGUGCGGCUGGAUCACCUCCUUU
rfam:Firmicutes bacterium ASF500 genomic scaffold adhIg-supercont1.1, whole genome shotgun sequence.